UGAGGAUGAGGAUGAGGAUGACGACGUGUGUUUGGGGUUUGGCGGCCUGUCUCGUUGCGGCGGUGGUGUUCGGUCCUGGGUGUGCCCCGU
rnacentral:ribozyme from 1 species